rnacentral:misc_RNA from 1 species
GAAAUGCGAUAAGUAAUGUGAAUUGCAGAAUUCAGUGAAUCAUCGAAUCUUUGAACGCACCUUGCGCUCCUUGGUAUUCCUUGGAGCAUGCCUGUUUGAGUAUCAUGAAAUCUUCAAAGUAAAUCUUUUGUUAACUCAAUUGGUUUCUAAUUUGGUAUUGGAGGUCUUUGCAGCUUCACACCUGCUCCUCUUUGUUCAUUAGCUGGAUCUCAGUGUUAUGCUUGGUUCCACUCGGCGUGAUAAGUUAUCUAUCGCUGAGGACACUGUAAAAGGUGGCCAAGGUAAAUGCAGAUGAACCGCUUCUAAUAGUCCAUUGACUUGGACAAUACUUUUAUGAUCUGAUCUCAAAUCAGGUAGGACUACCCGCUGAACUUAAGC